rnacentral:rRNA from 1 species
CACGUAGGGCGCGAGCGUUGUCCGGAAUUUAUUGGGCGUAAAGAGCUCGUAGGCGGUUCGUCGCGUCGGCUGUGAAAACCCGGAGCUCAACUCCGGGCCUGCAGUCGAUACGGGCGGACUAGAGUUCGGCAGGGGAGACUGGAAUUCCUGGUGUAGCGGUGAAAUGCGCAGAUAUCAGGAGGAACACCGGUGGCGAAGGCGGGUCUCUGGGCCGAUACUGACGCUGAGGAGCGAAAGCGUGGGGAGCGAACAGG